rnacentral:rRNA from 1 species
GACGAACGCUGGCGGCGUGCCUAAUACAUGCAAGUAGAACGCUGAAGAGAGGAGCUUACUCUUCUUGGAUGAGUUGCGAACGGGUGAGUAACGCGUAGGUAACCUGCCUUGUAGCGGGGGAUAACUAUUGGAGACGAAAGCUAAUACCGCAUAACAAUGGAUGACACAUGUCAUUUAUUUGAAAGGGGCAAUUGCUCCACUACAAGAUGGACCUGCGUUGUAUUAGCUAGUAGGUGAGGUAAUGGCUCACCUAGGCGACGAUACAUAGCCGACCUGAGAGGGUGAUCGGCCACACUGGGACUGAGACACGGCCCAGACUCCUACGGGAGGAAGCAGUAGGGAAGCUUCGGCAAUGGGGGCAACCCUGACCGAGCAACGCCGCGUGAGUGAAGAAGGGUUUCGGAUCGUAAAGCUCGGUUGUAAGUCAAGAACGGGUGUGAGAGUGGAAAGUUCACACUGUGACGGUAGCUUACCAGAAAGGGACGGCUAACUACGUG